GAUCCAGAUGUGGCUCGUGUACAGGCUCUCGUACUCCCUGUCAAAGAGAAGAGGGCACAGAGUUACACCAGCCCCUCUGACACAGGCUCAGUUAUGGUUGCAAGUAACUGCCUUCGUUCUCCUACUUUGUACAGCUUAGUGGAGGGAUGUUUUCUUGGCAACAUUUCUGUUCCAACAACUAAAUAACCAACAACUAACUAACCAAACAACCAGCAUGCUUAGCCUGUGCUAGGGGAUGUGGGGACAGCAGAAAAGAUGCCCAGGCCCUGGCCUUCCAGGUCAGUGCUGGAAAGAGAAGUAACCACCUGAAGCUAAAGUACCUGGGGUCAAAGAAGAGAGGUCUUGGAAAGAUGUAGAAGGAAAAACUGAAGAUGGUGCUUCUGGUGGGAAAUUAUAACAAUAAAGGCCAGGAGGAGGAAAUGAAGGUAUAAUAUGCUGACUGUUAAGCCAGCAGCUGCUUGUAGUCCAUAUUUGUUUUUAAGGAGUAGUGAGAAAUAGAGUUAAAUAAAUAUAGGGUGGGGCCUGAAUAUGCUGGGUGAUGAGAGACAACAGAAUUUGGACACCA
rnacentral:antisense_RNA from 1 species